GGCAAAACAAAAUUGGAUCUCCAUGAGGAGAAAAACCACAAACAUGAUGAUAAGGUUGUAUGGCUAACUGCCCCAUGGAUCAAGAAAAAUGAAUUCCAGCCUUGUUAAAGAGAGAAAGUAGAUGCAUGAAAUCUGCUUGAGCGAGCUUGGAGGAUCUCUUUUCCUCAAAAUUUCCUUCCUUCAGCACUGCCAAAACUCUCUCUUUGAAUUCUGCUCUUUUCGUAUCACCAUCAUCCAUCUCAAUGUCAUCGUCAUCAUUUCCAUCAUCAGCAUCCAUACUCAAGUCUCCAAAUGACUCUCCCAAGGUAGAUACAUCCAAAGCCAUUUCCAUAUCAUUCGAAGGAGCUUUCUCAGAGAACUGUAAAGCUUGCAAAGUUCUAUAGUUCUUUUCCAGUAUGUUGAGCACGGAUUUUUGUCUAAAAAUAGAACCUAUAGUUUUGUUUUUCCGGUUGAAACAGAUCCUGACCAAACCAUCCCACUCCUUAAAAUUGACAGGAGUAAGUGGUCCCCUAGGUUCAAUUCUAACUACAGAAGAAUCAACCUUUGGUGGUGGCCUGAAAUUAUUC
rnacentral:misc_RNA from 1 species